AAUAGAUACCCGGGUAGUCCAUGCCGUAAACGUUGGGCACUAGGUGUGGGGGACAUUCCACGUUUUCCGCGCCGUAGCUAACGCAUUAAGUGCCCCGCCUGGGGAGUACGGCCGCAAGGCUAAAACUCAAAGGAAUUGACGGGGGCCCGCACAAGCGGCGGAGCAUGCGGAUUAAUUCGAUGCAACGCGAAGAACCUUACCAAGGCUUGACAUGGACCGGAUCGCUGCAGAAAUGUGGUUUCUCCUUUUGGGGCCGGUUCACAGGUGGUGCAUGGUUGUCGUCAGCUCGUGUCGUGAGAUGUUGGGUUAAGUCCCGCAACGAGCGCAACCCUCGUUCCAUGUUGCCAGCACGUGAUGGUGGGGACUCAUGGGAGACUGCCGGGGUCAACUCGGAGGAAGGUAGGGACGACGUCAAAUCAUCAUGCCCCUUAUGUCUUGGGCUUCACGCAUGCUACAAUGGCCGGUACAAAGGGUUGCGAUACUGUGAGGUGGAGCUAAUCCCAAAAGCCGGUCUCAGUUCGGAUUGGGGU
rnacentral:rRNA from 1 species